rnacentral:lncRNA from 1 species
AAACCUUUUCUUUUUGUCCAUUAAUGGACGAGACUAAAAGAGUAAAAUAGGCAGAGAUAAUACUCAAACCACGAGUUUUACUCCCACGCGAUUGCCGCCGCUCGUCUCUACUCUCCAUCUCGCCAUCUUCCACCACUAACCACCGGCCUCCUACAUUCAAGCCCUAGACGCAAGUCACGCAGCACCUUCGAGCCCUAGACGCAGCACCUUCGAGCCCUUGAACUUCGCAAGACGCGACAGUCGGCAGCAGUCCUUCGAGUCUACAUUUCCACCAAUGAUUCGAUGACAGAAGAAGAAGAAGAAGAAGAAGAAGAAGGUGAAGCCCCUUGAUUCUGAUUCCUAAAUCGCACUCAAGUUCUAUCUGAAAAUUAAUUUUCUUGUUCAUUCUGUGAAUCCCAUUUAAAAGGGCAAGUUUUGGGGUUCUUGAAUUUUCUUUUUCUAGCUCCUAAUUUUUUGCUAGAUUUUGUCAAUUAAUCAAUGAUUUAUUGGUUGUAACUGAGUUAGCUUUGAAAAUAUUCUUUCACUAUUGUUUCUGUUUUGUGCAUUUCUUAGAAUUGGCUAUGAAAGAGCACUAUUUAUUUGGACAUGAAAUCCUGAAUUUGUAGUUGUGUUGAGGAUGAAUGGAUGAUAAAUUAGGGGCACCAUUUGGGAAAUUUGGAGCCAGGAAUUCUAGCCUAGGAGCUGGCAAAUUACCCGACUUUGUUGGCUUUUUAGCUAUGGUCACUACAUAAUAAAAUAUUAUCUAUGUCGAUCGGAUUGUUGGUUGUGCAACUAACCAGAUAUGAUUUCAUUAAAAUUAUAAUUUUAAUGCUGGUUUUGGUGUUUCACCUACAGUAUGAAGGUUGAAGGAUUGAGCUUGAGUACUGUGGAAUGGCUUGUGCUUCUAACAAAAAAUUUAGCCUUUGGGAUUGUAUAUGCAAUACAUAUCACAAAGUAUCACAUCUGGUUUUGACUUGUCAUUGGACUACUACUUCUCUGUUCUUUAAAACCCUUCAUUAUUCUGAUAUGUACUCAAUAAUAGUUUCCCCAUAGAGAAAGGAGCGAUCAUAUGACUUGUCAUGGUUGUAGGAGUGAUCAUAUGACUUGUCAAUUACUAUAUUAAUGAUUUAGAGAAGAUUGUUUUGGGAACUCAAAUAUGUCUCUAUUAGAGAGAGUAAAUGGUAGUAAUUUAAAAGUGCUGGCACACAGGGAAACUAUCUGCCACUCCAUGUUAACUUUCCUCUUGAUGAAAUAUAUUGGAAUCUUACCCUUGUUCUAUCUUAUUGUUCCUGGUUUGCACGAGCGACUCUUUUGAUGUCUUAUCUUAGAUGGAAAAGGAAGUAGUAGUCUCAAUAAAAGUCGGUUCUAUUUUGAUGAAACAUUCUUCUAUUUCCCCUUUUCUAGUGCUUUUUUCUUCUCCUUUUACCCGUAGCAGUUGCCUGUAAAAUUGUAGCUUUUGAUGGUCAUUUUUUGCAUUCAUGUUCAUAGCAUGUGAUGUAAUUUAAUUUGUGCUAUUGUGAUGUGCUGUUUAAAAAUGUUGAUAGUGUUUACAUUGUCUUAUUUUCUAUUUUGCUUAAUGUUUUCAGAUGUUCAAGGAUUAUUAUGAAUUCCAAUAAUUUACUGUCGAAUGAUUUUUUUUUCAGAUGGUCAUGUUUGUAAUGUCCAGCUUCCUCUUCUUUUUGGUGUACCAAUGAGCAAAUAUCUUUUCCUUUGUGCCAUUUUUUCAUUCUCUUUGCUCGUGAGCGUUUACUCAUGGCCUUUUGCGUUACUACAUAAAAAAAUUAAAAAAAUAAUAAUUUGAGGGUUUGUUUAGUAAACAAUAAUUUCCAGGUUGAUGUUGGCUUAUGUUACUUGUGCAUUUAACUUAUAAAAUUCCUUUUAUAUUUAUUUCUAACUUUACAAAUGGGUUCAUUCUUAGUGGUUCUCAAGAUAUAGGGACUGUACAAGUCUGAUUGUUGCAUCUAUAUUAUAUCAUGUUUAUUAGACUAUAAUUUCGAGAAUCGCGUGUAAGAAAAAAUAAUAAGGGAGAACUUACAAGAAAGUUGCUCAGGUAAUUGGUUGCAAGCAUGGUUAAGCAAAUUGAUCUAUUCUGUUGCGACUGGAUUGAUGGAUCCGGUUCAACUACAGUGACCGAUGGGUAGGAAUGAUGCAAUUUGCAAAUUACAUGGUGCAAUUUGGAUUGUCAACUCAAAUUUUUGUAGGUAGUGAUUGUUCUUUUUUUUUUUUGGUAUAUUAUUUGUGGAAGAGGUGAUUAAAUUUUUGUACGGAGGCAUUUUUGUAUAUUAUUUUUGUAGGUAGUGAUUGUCCUAUUUUUUUAAUUUAUUUUUUAGUUAAGUGGUGUUGUAUCAUGUUCAAGUAUAUUGAUUCAGAAAUUUAUAAUGAAAUUAUCAUUUUUUAUGCAA